CAUCGAUGAAGAACGCAGCGAAAUGCGAUAAGUAAUGUGAAUUGCAGAAUUCAGUGAAUCAUCGAAUCUUUGAACGCACAUUGCGCCCCGCCAGUAUUCUGGCGGGCAUGCCUGUUCGAGCGUCAUUUCAACCCUCAAGCCCUGCUUGGUGUUGGGG
rnacentral:rRNA from 1 species